rnacentral:rRNA from 1 species
UACAGAGGUCCCGAGCGUUGUUCGGAUUCAUUGGGCGUAAAGGGUGCGUAGGCGGUUUCCUAAGUUUGAUGUGAAAUCCCGGGGCUUAACCCUGGAAUUGCAUUGAAUACUGGGAGACUAGAGUACUGGAGAGGAAACUGGAAUUUACGGUGUAGCAGUGAAAUGCGUGGAGAUCGUAAGGAAGACCAGUGGCGAAGGCGAGUUUCUGGACAGUUACUGACGCUGAGGCACGAAGGCCAGGGGAGCAAACGGG